ensembl:lncRNA
UAGAAAUGUUACUGGGGUUAAGGUUAGGGUAACGCUAAGGGUGUCAGGAUCCUCGCAUGAACUGUUGUUUUUGUCUCCCCCUACCUGUUGGAGUGUGAUAGUUCGGGACUUUGUUUAUGUUUGGAGCCAUGUAUUGGUCAUGUGUCCGGGGUGACACCCAUGUCCUUAUUUGGGCGACUUCCUGCCUUUUGUUUGUGCCCUCCAUUUUCUCUGUCCACCUGUACCUCAUUUUGCAUUGAUUGGUGGAGUAUUUAAACGCUGCCCUUUCUGCUCACUUUGUCAGAUCGUCACGUUAGGUACUGUUUGCUACCCGACUGCCACGUGAGUGCGACUAGCGUGAGGCUCUUUAAAGAGAGACUAUAGUUUCUGUUCUUCCCGGUUUUGAACCCUGCCUGUUUGGACUAAGCCUUCUGCCUAUCAGUUUUUGGAUCUCUUGCCUGAAGCUGUUCGUCAGUAUCUGUCUGCCUGCCUGCCCGUUUACGAACCCUGCCUGUACCUGGAAUCUGAUUUGCCCGCUGGACUGUAUGGAAAUAAACCCUUUUUGAUCUGCUAUUGAUUCCCGUUCUGUGUCGUGACAGUACGAUCUGACCAAGAUGGAAUCAGCAGAUCUGGAUCAGGUGAAAGCUGUGCUGGAGAGGCAAGGAGCGCUUCUCGGUCAACAUCAAGCCCAGCUUCAGACAGUUGAAGAUUCCCUGGGGACCAUCGCAACCAGCAUCACAGACUUGGCGGCCCAGCUGCAGCAGGUCCAACUGGCCCUGGUGCGGCCACCCCAGCCUCAACUGGCGACACCGCCCGACCCCCCCCGUCUGCCAGCUCCUGCACUUUAUGCCGGGGAACCUGGAACCUGCAGAUCGUUCCUUUCAUAAUGUUCGCUGGUGUUCCAGCUGCAGCCCGCCACCUUUCCGUCGGAUCAGUCCCGGGUUGCUUAUGUCAUUACCCUCUUGGCUGGCCGUGCAAGAGAGUGGGGAACUGCGGUUUGGGACUCCAACUCCCCAGCCUGUCUCAGCUAUCAGGCAUUCAUAGAUGAGAUGAAGAAGGUCUUUGAUCGCUCGGUGCACGGAGAGAGGCCGCCCGAGUGAUGUUGCAGAUCCGUCAAGGCAAGAGGUCUGCUUCUGACUAUGCAAUAGACUUCCGCACCCUCGCCGCCACCAGUGGAUGGAAUUCAGAUGCCCAGUAUGAUGCCUUCCUCUAUGGACUCUCUGAGGCCAUCAAGGAUGAGGUCGCCACCCGUGAGCUGCCUUCCACCUUUGAUGACCUCGUUGAGCUUGCCAUCCGGGUGGACAAACGCCUGAAGCAGCGCGCCGGGGAGCGAGAGUUCCGCCCUCCUCCGAGGUCACCCGCCUCGGAGGCCCCUCUCCGUUCCUGCCUGCGCUAGCUUACCCCAGCCUACCAGAGCCCAUGCAAGUGGACCGUACCCAUCUGUCCCCAGCCGAGAGACAGAGAAGAAGGGACACCAAUUCGUGCAUGUAUUGUGGUAAACCGGGUCAUUACUCCGCCCAAUGCCCGGCAAAAGGCAACGGUCACCCGUAGAAGGGGGAUUACUGGUGAGCGUCACUCCUCUUCAUCCCUCUGCUACCACCCGUACCCUUGUCCCUGCCACGCUCAUUACAGGAGCUCAUUCCCACCUCGUGUCUGCACUUAUUGACUCGGGAGCGGAUGGCAAUUUCAUGGACACCUCCCUGGUCUCUGAGCUACACCUCGUCCCAGCCCAGCUGAAGUCCCCUCUGGAGGCAAGAGCACUAACCGGAGCAAGGUUCUCCCAGAUAACCCAUGUCACGCCCCCGGUGAGUCUACUCAUUUCUGGCAAUCAUCAAGAGGACCUAGUGUUCCAUAUGUUAGACUCACCAACUGCUCCCAUCGUCCUCGGCCGGCCCUGGCUGGUAAAGCACAAUCCACACAUUGAUUGGGCUAAUAAAACCAUCCUAGGCUGGGGCACAUUCUGUCUGAAUAACUGCCUUAAGAGUGCCCUUACCCCCGCCUGCAGUCUCACCAGCCACAGAUGAUUCCAUGGAUCUGUCUGAAGUACCACCUGAGUACCUGGAUCUCAAGGCUGUGUUCAGUAAAGCCCGUGCAACCUCCCUGCCACCGCACCGACCCUAUGACCUGGCCAUCGAGCUUCUACCUUGUACGUCACCUCCUAGGGGCCGUCUCUAUUCCUUGUCUUCUCCCGAAACCGCAGCUAUGAACAAAUACAUCUGUGAGUCACUAGCUGCCGGUAUUAUCCGCCCCUCUUCCUCGCCUGCUGGUGCCGGGUUUUUCUUCGUAGGGAAGAAGGACGGCACCCUGCGUCCUUGUAUAGACUAUAGGGGCCUAAACAACAUCACUGUGAAGAACCGCUACCCUCUGCCUUUGAUGUCCUCAGCUUUUGAGUUGUUGCGGGGGCCAAGAUUUUCACCAAGUUGGAUCUCCGCAGUGCUUACCAUCUGGUCCGACACUCCCAACAUGUCCGUAGUGUCCUGCAGCGCCUUUUGGAGAACCAACUGUUCGUUAAAGCGGAGAAAUGUGAAUUUCACAAAGAGACUGUUUCCUUCCUGGGGUAUGUCAUCACAGCUGGAGGGGUCCAGAUGGAUGGCCCGAAGGGUGAAGUUCACUUGGUCACCAGCUGCCGGG